rnacentral:lncRNA from 1 species
UGUGAGCGGUAAACACAGCCUUUGAGAGCAGGAGCACAUGUCCCUUUCAUGACAUCAGGUAGGGUUGUAUGACUCCCAACUAGCUCUAGCAUCUGAGUGUCCCCUCCCCCACUGUAGUGAGGAAUGUUGGUGAUCUCUUAACGAGGCACUCUGUGCUCUGUUGGCCAUUCUCACUGUAAAAAAACAAACAUGGAUUCUUGGGCUGUUCCCUCAGCUACACUUGGCUUGUUUCAAAACUCAUGUCUGGGGAACAUACGUUCAGCAAGAAAUACUUUGUACUAAUAAAUUUUAUAAUGGAUGAAACCUGGACCUGGGUUUUGGGAGUGUUACACGGAUUGUGAAGCACAGAGUGGUAAAUUCUCAGAGGUUGUAAACCUGUGACAGGAGGAUUUGUCUGCUUUGUUGGGAAGCUUUGGUCUCUGGACAAUUAACGUGGACCGCUUCUCACGGUGGUUUACCGUAUACUUCAGUAUAUUUCUCUGAUUCUCUGCCCUUGUAAGGAUUUGUGACUUGGGACCCCUUAAGGAUUAUGUGCUGUCAGAGCGUAGACCACCAUAGGUAUUUCCAGCGCUUAGCAGGGCAGUUAACAUGGCUGAGGUCUCCUUUCUCUGCCCAGGGCUUCCUCCAUCCGGCAGCUGGCAGGACCUGAAGGAUCACAUGCGCGAAGCUGGGGAUGUCUGUUACGCAGACGUACAGAAGGACGGAAUGGGGAUGGUUGAAUAUUUGAGGAAAGAAGACAUGGAAUAUGCUCUGCGGAAACUGGAUGACACCAAAUUCCGCUCUCACGAG